UACGAAGGGGGCUAGCGUUGCUCGGAAUUACUGGGCGUAAAGGGCGCGUAGGCGGACAGUUAAGUCAGAGGUGAAAGCCCAGGGCUCAACCCUGGAAUAGCCUUUGAUACUGGCUGUCUUGAGUGCGGGAGAGGUGUGUGGAAUUCCUGGUGUAGCGGUGAAAUGCGUAGAUAUCAGGAGGAACACCGGUGGCGAAGGCGCUCAUCUGGCCCAAUACUGACGCUGCAGCGCGAAAGCUAGGGGAGCAAACGGG
rnacentral:rRNA from 1 species